GUUGAAAAAUUAGCGGAUGACUUGUGGCUGGGGGUGAAAGGCCAAUCAAACCGGGAGAUAGCUGGUUCUCCCCGAAAGCUAUUUAGGUAGCGCCUCGUGAAUUCAUCUCCGGGGGUAGAGCACUGUUUCGGCAAGGGGGUCAUCCCGACUUACCAACCCGAUGCAAACUGCGAAUACCGGAGAAUGUUAUCACGGGAGACACACGGCGGGUGCUAACGUCCGUCGUGAAGAGGGAAACAACCCAGACCGCCAGCUAAGGUCCCAAAGUCAUGGUUAAGUGGGAAACGAUGUGGGAAGGCCCAGACAGCCAGGAUGUUGGCUUAGAAGCAGCCAUCAUUUAAAGAAAGCGUAAUAGCUCACUGGUCGAGUCGGCCUGCGCGGAAGAUGUAACGGGGCUAAACCAUGCACCGAAGCUGCGGCAGCGACACUGUGUGUUGUUGGGUAGGGGAGCGU
rnacentral:rRNA from 1 species